rnacentral:lncRNA from 1 species
UGAACUUUUAAGUGAAGUUAUGAGGUCAGGCCUUUGACCUGAUAUAAUCGUGAUUUGAACACUGCAUCUGUUUAUUCUUAGUAGUCUAGCUUUUGUAACUAACAUUUGGAGGCUUGUUUAAAGAAUGCAAAAGUGAUUAUAGUACUAAUUACUAUUCUAAAGUCAUGUUAUACUUUAAAUUAUUCCUCUUAUGGCCAAUCUUCUAUUUAAGCACCUCCAUCCUCUCUUCUUCCUUCAACAAACUCAGUAGUAUUCAUAUUUCUUUAGUUUGUUGUGGCAACUGGAGUAAAUGCAGACCGAGAGAGCGCGUUGUGCCGGAUAUUGAAGGACUACAAGGGUUCGGAGGAGAGGUUAUCCAUGCUUAAGAAUAGAAACCUGGUGAAAAUACAGAGGAAAAAAAGGUCUUGGUUGUGGUGUGGAAAUUGAGGCAUGGAAGUAUCAGCUGAUCAUUGUGCAACCACAAUGCUAGAUCAUGAGUCGUAGUUCAAAGCUCAGUAAGUCAUCAAUGUUAGUCUCAUCUCCCUGUCUAACAUUCAGAACUGGAUACUACAUUAGAAUAUAAUCUAAUCGCGUAGAUUUUUCUGUUCCCCAGGUUCAAAAGGCCAUUAAGUGGACCUUUGGAGCUGAAGAACACGCGUGGAAGAGACCUGUUCUUGACAUUCAUGGCUCACGAUGGUCCUACAGCUAAUCCUUUUUGAAGGCAUGCUCCUACAGCUAAUCUCGAUGGUCUAAUCCAACUAUAACCGGUUUCUUAAUCCAGACACAGGAGAACCAGAGAAGUCAUUUUAAUCCAGAAAUGUAAACAUACUAAACUGUAGGAAUUAAGGCCUGAUUCAAUUUCACUCCAGAAUGUAAACAUACUAAACUGUAGUAAUUGAGGCCUGAUUCAAUUUCACUCCAGAAUCUUUGUAGAGAGAUAGUAUUUAAGAUGGCCAGAAAUUUAUACAGAUUUUGAAAAUGCGAC